rnacentral:snRNA from 1 species
UCUCAAGUGAGAAACUUUCUACA